ACUUCUAGGGCAUAUAUCUAACAACUGUUUGAAUAGUUGGGCCCAAAAUCUUGUAUAAUUCAUAGGUUAGGCCAAUACAACUAUCAAAAGUAUUGGUUAGGUCAUUUUUUCUCCCUACGGGAUUCAAGUUAGCCCACUCAAAAUAUAGUCCUAGAUAUUUUUAAACAUAGGUCUAACUCAGCCUAUAAUCUAAUGCUUUUUGUAGUUGUACUAACCCAACCCAUUAAUUUCAUGAGAUCUUAAACCUAACUAUCCAAAUAGACCCUUAUUAUUUUAUCUUAAAAUUGUAGUUAAUAUCUGAAUGCUUUGAAAAUCUCAAAAUUUCAUAGAAGUUCAACCUAUAAGAACUAUAAAUCUAUGAUGAUAAACAAUCCAAUAAACGAGAACAAAUAGGAGAAUAUAUGUGAGGAUGCCUUCACAAAGUUCUUGUCAUGUUCAUUUUGAGAUCAUGCUUUGGUAAAUUUGUUAACUUGUAAGAGAUGAAAAUUUAAAGAAAUUUUAUUAUAUUAAGAUAGUGAAUAUAGUAAUGUAUUUAAAGAACACUAAAUGCCUAGAUAAUAUUUCCAACUCUAUUUAAUUCUUAUAACAUCUCAAAUGUUUUUUGACAAUAGAUCAUCACAGAUUAAAAAGAAGCGAGCCAACUUAGCUAUAGUAGUCUUAAAUAAUUUUGCAAGUAUAAUAUCUUAGUCGCAUUUAACAGUACUUGUAUGAGCCUUAAUAACACUUCAGGGCACCUUAAGUGAUCCAUAAAGUAGCUAAUGUGAAGAUAUAUCCCCUAUGUUUCUAAUUCCAAAAGUAUCUCCAACUAAAAAAAUGGGAGUUUUGAUAAAAACUAAUCAUAUGGGGUGGACACAAGAGAAAAAAAAAUAUGGGAAGGCUUCCGAUUUUACCACAUUUACCCUAAUAUACAUCUCAAAGAAAAAAACCUAAAAGUCAAAGAUUCCUAUAAAUAAAGUCGUUAGUCUUGCAAUUAAAAAAAAAAUAUGGUAGUCUCUUUCUUCCUCAUUUUCAGAAUAUUUUUUUUAUCAGUAUAUACUAUAUAGUCAGAUAAUACACACGAAGCAAAUUAAUCGUCAAACAAAUUAAUACAUGAUUUUAGAUAAAUUUAUACAUAAUUUUUAAAAUAUAAAAUUUAUCAAUAUACAAUACACUGAAAAAUGAUACAUACUUAGUGUUAGUUAUCUAGCAACCCAAUACACAUUAUCAAGCAGAUUGAUAUAUAGCUUCUGAAACAUUAUAUUCAUCAGUAUACACUAUAUAGUUAGAUGAAACACAUUGGUCGACUUUCAAAUACAUAUUGCAUGCUUUUUUGCUAUACACCCAACAAUGAUCCAAUACAUACCUCUAUAUAAAAAAUAUAUUCUAAAAAUUAUGUAUCUAUUUACUUGCAUGUGUAUAUUGAAUCAUUAUUGGAUAUGUAUUAAAGAAGCUUAGAAUAUACACUAAAAAGUUGAUGAGUAUGUAUCACUGAACUAUAUAGUAUGUGUUAAUGAAUAUGAUAUUCUAAAAACUAUAUAUCAUUCACUUAGAGGUAUGCAUUAGGGUGCUAGCUUAAUAAUUUGCUAAAUGAGCAUCACCUAGCUGUGUACUAUAUAUUGGUAAACUUCAUAUUCUAAAAACUAUAUAUCGAUAUAUCCAAAAAUAUGUAUUGACUUAUUUGAUAAUUAAUUUACUUGAUGUAUAUUACCUCCCCAUAUAGCAUAUAUCGAUAGAAAAUAUAUUCUGAAAAUAAGAAAUAAAGAAAAUGCAGUACCUUUUGUUUUUAAUCAUGAGAUUGAUGACUCCAUUGGGAGUUUUUGACUUUUGGAUUUCUUUUUUAAGAUUGGUAAUAAAAAAAAUGUGGCAGAAUAGGAAGCCCACUCUAUAUUUUUUUCUCUAAUGCCUAUCCUAUAUGAUUUUUGUUCUAGUUUC
rnacentral:lncRNA from 1 species